AUGGUUACUAGCUACUUUUUUUGCUCACGCUCACCUAUCGCCUGCCUCUUAGUCGGGUGAAUACGCGAAGUCUGAUGACAUUUUAUUAGUAAAUAAACAAGCAAAUGAGAAGGCCAGUGCUGCCUCACCUCAGACCCUUUUCUCUAACUGGUACUGAGAUGCUGGAUGUGUGCAAAUCCACAUGCUAACUCCUUGCUUUGUAGUAAGCUCAGUGGAGCAGAGGAAUGCUGGCCUGCUGUGCUCGGCCGAUCACUGUGUGCUAGUUUUGAAGCGUGCUAACGAUGGAGAAAGGACAAAGGCAUAGAAGGACGGUGUUUAGGGUGAUCAAAGAGGGCUACGAUUAGAAGAUGAUUACUGCUGAACACCUAAAGGACAGCAGAGGAGCAGAGAAACACUACAGUACAGAAAAAGGGGAUCACAAUUAGAAAACACAAAGAGAGGGCAGGCAGAUAAAGCAACAGACGAGGAUUCCAGUAAAUACUUUCUGGAUGUUGGUGUGCCAAGGGAAGCUAAGAAAUAAAACA